GCGCCCGUAGCUCAGCGGAUAGAGCAUCGGUCUUCGGAACCGAGGGUCGCAGGUUCGAAUCCUGCCGGGCGUGCCA
rnacentral:tRNA from 1 species